CAACUUGUACCGGAACAUGAAAGCACUGCUCCACUUGACUCUCCUACUUUAAGGUAAAAAUAUCUUAUCAUUCUAUGAAUUUUUAAAUUUAAUAUUUGAUAUAAUUGCAAAAAUAAAAAGAGAAGGGUGGAUGUAAGAGAGUUAUUGGAUUUUGAAUUUGGAGGUUGGAGAUUUAGAGGGAGAUGGAAGGGAUGGUAGGUCUCUAGGUCUAGGUCAUAGAUUAUUAUUUUUAUAGGUUAUAAAUAUAAAUUUGUAAGUAUUAUAUAAAUUUAUAUUUAUUAUAGAUAUCUCUCUCUCUCUCUCUCUAUAUAUAUAUAUAUAUAUAUUUAUAUACAAUAAUAGAGUACUCUCACUACUAAUUAAGAGUAGCGUAAAUUAUAAAAAAUAAAAAUCAAAUUAAUACUACAAAAAAGUCCAUCAGGGCACAAUAGUUGUUAAUCCAAAAAGCAACAACAUAAAAUAACAGUUUUUUCAAGUAUUCAAAAAAGCAACAGCAUAAUAAAGCAACAAGUUGUUUCAAGCAUUUCAAAAAGCAACAGCAUAAAGUAACAUGUAUUCAAAAUGCAACAUCAUAAAGUAACAAGUAUUUUCAAGCAUUCUAAAAAUCAACUAUAUAAAGUAACAUGUGAUUGCAAACAAAUGUUGCUAUUUUUAUUAUGGAUUCGUUUAUGUUUAUGGUUGUGUAUGGGUUGUUUAACAUAUGUGCAAAGUGUGGUUAGGCAUUGGUUUGAAAUACAAUAAUUAUUUGUUGGUUCAGCAUGAUUGUGUUGUGUUGAUUAUGGUUACUGAUUAAAAUUACCUAUAAUAAUCAUUGCUUAGUAAGAAUUGUGGAUGAGGUUUUAUGUAUUUAUUUUGUUUGUCUCAAUAUGGUUGUGUUGAAUGAAGAUUUUGUAAUGUAAAAUUCACUUUUAAUGUAAGGAGUACAUUGUUCCUGGGAUGGUUAAGUAAAAUUUUUGAAAUGUAGAAUUCACUUUUAAUGUAAGCUGAAGAUUGGAUGGAAGUAUAUAGAGAUUCGAUUGGACGGAAUCGGUUCAUUGUUGAUAUUUGCAAGCAUGAAAAGCUUUUUGUACCAAAGGUAUUAUUACUAAAUGUAGAAUUUGUCCUUUUGAUUGAAUGAUAUAUAGUAUUGAUGCAAAUAUAUUUACUUUUUUUGGGAAUUUUUUGUAGGUUAGUAUACUGAUUUUUGCAAGAUUGCUCAAUUUAAAAAGUAUUUAGUUCUAAUGGGAUAUGAGGUCGUUAUUACUUAUCUUAUUAGUUUUUUUACACUUAUGUGUUUAAACUGAAUAAACAGGUUUGGAAAGAACAACAGCAGCUUGUACUGCUACAUGGAAGUAGCGCUCCGCUUGACUUUCUUACUUUAAGGUAAAAAUAUCUCAUCAUUCUAUAAAUUUUUAAAUUUAAUAUUUGUUAUAGCUGCAAAAAUAGAGAAAAAAAAGGGUGGAUGUAAGAGAGAGAUUGGAUUUUGAAUUUGAAGGUUGAAGAUUUGGAGAGAGAGGGAAGGGAGGGUAGGUCUCUAGGUCUAGGUCAUAUAGAUUAUUAUUUUUAUAGGUUCUAAAUAUAUAUUUAACAAGUAUUAUAUAUAUUUAUAUUUAUUAUAAAUAUCUAUAUAUAUGUGUGUGUGUGUGUGUGUGUGUGUGUGUAUUUAUAUGCAAUAAUAGAGCACUCUGACUACUAAUUAAGAGCAACAUAAAUUAUAAACAAUAAAAAUCAAAUUAAUAGUACAAAAAGGUCCAUUAGUGCACAAUAGCUGUUGAUCCAAAAAGCAACAACAUAAAAUAACAGUUUUUUCAAGUAUUCAAAAAAGCAACAACAUAUAGUAGCAAGUUGUUUCAAGCAUUUCAAAAAGUAACGGCAUAAAAUAACAUGUAUUUUCAAAUAUUUCAUAAAGCAAUAGCAUAAAGUAACAGGUAUUUUCAAGCAUUCCAAAAAUUAAUCAACUACAUAAAGUAACAGGUGAUUACAAACAAAUGUUGCUAUUUCUAUUAUAGAUUCGUUUAUGGUUGUGUAUGGGUUGUUUAACAUAUGUGCAAAGUGUGGUUAGACAUUGGUUUGAAAUCAAAUAAUUAGUUUUGUUGGUUCAGCAUGAUUGUGUUUUGUUGAUUGUGGUUAUUGAUUAAAACUACCUAUAAUAAUCAUUACAUAAUAAGAAUUGUGGAUGAGGUUUUAUGUAUUUAAUUUGUUUGUCUCAAUAUGUUUGUGUUGAAUGAAAAUUUUGUAAUGUAAAAUUCACUUUUAAUGUGAGGAGCACAUUGUUCCUGGGAUGGUUAAGUGAAAAUUUAGAAAUGUAGAAUUCACUGUUAAUGUAAGAUGAAUAUUAGAAGUAUAUCGAUUCAAUUGGACGGAAUCGGUUCAUUGUUGAUAAUGCAAACAUGAAAAGCUUUUUCCACUAAAGGUAUUAUUACUAAAUGUAGAAUUUUUCCUUUUGUGCUUUUGACUGAAUGAUAUAUAGUAUUGAUGCAAAUGUAUUAACUUUUUGGGAAUUUUUUUUGUAGGUUAUUUUAAACUGAGUAAACAGGGUUGGAAAGAAAAUCACUAGUGGAACAUGGAAGCAAUGCUCUACUUGACUCACCUACUUUAAGGUAAAAAAUAUCUUAUCAUUCUAUGAAUUUUUAAAUUUAAUAUUUUAUAUAACUGCAGAGAAAAAGAAGGGUGG
rnacentral:lncRNA from 1 species